rnacentral:rRNA from 1 species
AAUGAACGCUGGCGGCGUGGAUUAGGCAUGCAAGUCGAACGCGAAAGUUCCCUUCGGGGAGCGAGUAGAGUGGCGAAAGGGUGAGUAAUGCUUGGAUGACCUGCCCUCGAGACGGGGACAACAGUUCGAAAGGACUGCUAAUACCCGAUAGUCCGGUUUAGAUGCGUCUAGAUCGGUAAAUGGUGCUUCCGCUCGAGGAGGGGUUCAAGUCCUAUCAGCUUGUUGGUGAGGUAACGGCUCACCAAGGCGAUGACGGGUAGCCGGACUGAGAGGUUGGCCGGCCACAUGGGAACUGAGACACUGUCCUGACUCCUACGGGAGGCUGCAGUCGAGAAUCUUCUGCAAUGGGCGAAAGCCUGACAGAGCGACGCCGCGUGGAGGAUGAAGGCCUUAGGGUUGUAAAGCUCUUUUACCAGGGAUGAUAAUGACAGUACCUGGAGAAUAAGCUCCGGCUAACUCCGUGCCAGCAGCCGCGGUAAUGUGACU